rnacentral:rRNA from 1 species
GACGUAGGGCGCGAGCGUUGUCCGGAUUUAUUGGGCGUAAAGAGCUCGUAGGCGGCUUGUCGCGUCGACUGUGAAAACUCGGGGCUCAACUCCGAGCUUGCAGUCGAUACGGGCAGGCUAGAGUUCGGUAGGGGAGACUGGAAUUCCUGGUGUAGCGGUGAAAUGCGCAGAUAUCAGGAGGAACACCGAUGGCGAAGGCAGGUCUCUGGGCAGUUACUGACGCUGAGGAGCGAAAGCAUGGGGAGCGAACAGG